UAAACAGGAUCCCAUCUAACGUCCAAAAUCCCGUUGGCGCAUGUGGAGAGGUAUUUAUUCGGGAAACGUCAUCGAGCGGACGGCAAUCGGAUCGUCGAUGGCUCCGGUAACAAGGAAGCUCUUUUAUAGGUCAGAUCGAAGCGAGACCGAUCAACGUUCGGGUGUCCCGCGCGAACAGAGACGGCACGAAUCGCCGCUUUUAUUCUCGAGCACGCUCGGACCAAAUUGUAGCGCAACGAUAAUAAUAAUAAAAAUAGCCGGAGUUGACCUAACGGUUCCUCGCAUCCUACUGCCACACUUACUUUACGCUUACCUAACGCGACACCAGCGCGUUUCCAGCGGUGGCCUGCAGUAGUCGCGGUGAGACUUGGAAUCUUAUUUUACGAUGCAACUAGGGACUCGAUAUCCGUGUAGAACCUUCUCUAACUCUUCUAACGCGGUGCAAACAUUCCGACAGCCUUCCCGUAACCCCUGGGAGUCAUUCCUAAGUCGUCUCGAGCGUGAAACAUUUUACGCUUCGACGUUGACGAUUCGAAAGAGGUCAAGUGCGCUUGACGAUAUAUUCGAUGAACAAUAAGCGUAUCGAGAAAGGAACGGUACGACGAGGGAUCGAAUUAUUAUGAUCACUGGUCACUUUGAAUAUGGCGUGACUUGAUAUCGCGUGUGCUAUAUUCAACCGGAAGCAUCGAUGGAGGCUGAGCCAGGUACCUUGCACAGCAUUCGUUCGGCGAAGACAACAGUUUCGAUGAAACGGGCCAUCGAUCGGCCGGAUGACCCAAAACCAUCCGGAAUUACACCGUCGCAGCCAACUUUGCCAUGAGACACUGUCUACACAGGGUGAACGACCUAACUUAAAAAAAUUACAUACAAC